CCUACGGGAGUCAGCAGUGAGGAAUAUUGGUCAAUGGACGCAAGUCUGAACCAGCCAUGCCGCGUGCAGGAAGACGGCUCUAUGAGUUGUAAACUGCUUUUGUACGAGGGUAAACGCAGAUACGCGUAUCUGUCUGAAAGUAUCGUACGAAUAAGGAUCGGCUAACUCCGUGCCAGCAGCCGCGGUAAUACGGAGGAUUCAAGCGUUAUCCGGAUUUAUUGGGUUUAAAGGGUGCGUAGGCGGUCGGAUAAGUUAGAGGUGAAAUCCCGAGGCUCAACUUCGGAAUUGCCUCUGAUACUGUUAGGCUAGAGAGUAGUUGCGGUAGGCGGAAUGUAUGGUGUAGCGGUGAAAUGCUUAGAGAUCAUACAGAACACCGAUUGUGAAGGCAGCUUACCAAACUACGACUGACGUUGAGGCACGAAAGCGUGGGGAGCAAACAGGAUUAGAUACCCUGGUAGUC
rnacentral:rRNA from 1 species